rnacentral:rRNA from 1 species
GACGAACGCUGGCGGCGUGCUUAACACAUGCCAGUCGAACGGAAAGGCCCUGCUUUUGUGGGGUGCUCGAGUGGCGAACGGGUGAGUAACACGUGAGUAACCUGCCCUUGACUUUGGAAUAACUUCAGGAAACUGGGGCUAAUACCGGAUAGGAGCUCCUGCUGCAUGGUGGGGGUUGGAAAGUUUCGGCGGUUGGGGAUGGACUCGCGGCUUAUCAGCUUGUUGGUGGGGUAGUGGCUUACCAAGGCUUUGACGGGUAGCCGGCCUGAGAGGGUUGCCGGCCACAUUGGGACUGCGAUACGGCCCAGACUCCUACGGGAGGCAGCAGUGGGGAAUAUUGCACAAUGGGCGGAAGCCUGAUGCAGCAACGCCGCGUGCGGGAUGACGGCCUUCGGGUUGUAAACCGCUUUCGCCUGUGACGAAGCGUGAGUGACGGUAAUGGGUAAAGAAGCACCGGCUAACUACGUG